GAUGAACGCUGGCGGCGUGCCUAAUACAUGCAAGUCGAGCGAACAGACGAGGAGUUUGCUCCUCUGACGUUAGCGGCAGACGGGUGAGUAACACGUGUAUAACCUACCUAUAAGACGGGGAAAACUUCGGGAAACCGGAGCUAAUACCGGAUAAUAUAUUGCACCGCAUGGUUCAAUGGAGAAAUACGGUUUUGCUGGCACUUCUAGAUGGAUCCGCGCCGCAUUAGCUAGUUGGUAAGGUAACGGCUUACCAAGGCAACGAUGCGUAGCCGACCUGAGAGGGUGAUCGGCCGCACUGGAACUGAGACACGGUCCAGACUCCUACGGGAGGCAGCAGUAGGGAAUCUGCCGCAAUGGGCGAAAGUUUGACGGAGCAACGCGGCGUGAGUGAUGAAGGUCUUGGGAUCGUAAAACUCUGUUAUUAGGGAAGAACAAAUGUGUAAGUAACUAUGCACGUCUUGACGGUACCUAAUCAGAAAGCCACGGCUAACUACGUG
rnacentral:rRNA from 1 species